AACGAACGCUGGCGGCAUGCCUAACACAUGCAAGUCGAACGAGACCUUCGGGUCUAGUGGCGCACGGUUGCGUAACGCGUGGGAACCUGCCCUUAGGUUCGGAAUAACUCCCCGAAAGGGGUGCUAAUACCGGAUAAUGUCUUCGGACCAAAGAUUUAUCGCCUUUGGAUGGGCCCGCGUUGGAUUAGCUAGUUGAUAGGGUAAAAGCCUACCAAGGCGACGAUCCAUAGCUGGUCUGAGAGGAUGAUCAGCAACACUGGGACUGAGACACGGCCCAGACUCUUACGGAAGGCAGCAGUGGGGAAUAUUGGACAAUGGGCGAAAGCAUAAGCCAGCAAGGCCGCGUGAGUGAUGAAGGCCUUAGGGUUGUAAAGCUCUUUUACCCGGGAUGAUAAGGACAGUACCGGGAGAAUAAGCUCCGGCUAACUCCGU
rnacentral:rRNA from 1 species